rnacentral:rRNA from 1 species
UGGGGGAAUAUUGGGCAAUGGGCGCAAGCCUGACCCAGCAACGCCGCGUGAGGGAAGAAGGUUUUCGGAUUGUAAACCUCUGUCGCAGAAGACGAAGGAAGUGACGGUAAUCUGUGAGGAAGCCCCGGCUAACUACGUGCCAGCAGCCGCGGUAAUACGUAGGGGGCGAGCGUUGUCCGGAAUGACUGGGCGUAAAGGGUGUGUAGGUGGUUUGAUAAGUUAGAUGUGUAAUACCCAGGGCUUAACUCGGGUGCUGCAUCUAAAACUGUUAGACUUGAGUACUGGAGAGGAUAGUGGAAUUCCUAGUGUAGCGGUGGAAUGCGUAGAUAUUAGGAGGAACAUCAGUGGCGAAGGCGACUAUCUGGACAGCAACUGACACUGAGGCACGAAAGCGUGGGGAGCAAACAGGAUUAGAUACCCUGGUAGU